CGGGAAUGGCGCAGCCUGGUAGCGCAUCCGUGUUUUUGAGUAUGAGUGGGACCAGAGUGUUUCGCAGGUUCGAAUCCUGCAACGCCGACCA
rnacentral:tRNA from 1 species